CUCCUUAAAUGAUUUUACAACAUACAAGAUGCCAAUUGUACCAAAGCAAUACUUACUAAUACAACAUGGGGAAGUUUAGUGGUUAACUUGUAGCCUGCAUACAGCACCCGAGAGGGUUGGUUGGUUGUUAUUCUGCAGAAAUGCAUGUAUAGUACAGUACCUACCUACACAAGGAGCCCUUCCCCUCAACACCUGACCACCUGGGAGAUAGAGCUCUUCAGGGGGAGGACUGUAGAGGAGAGGACAUACACCUGGGCCUUACACAUUGGCCAUGAAGUGUAUGGGUGUGUAUUUGUUUGUGUGUGUAUUUGUGUUUGUGUGUGUGUAUUUGUGAAAUGAAUCACAGAGCAAAUAGUGAAGUUGAGGUACAUCAUAAAAGGUGUGGCACAUAGUAAAUGAACUUCUCCUCCACAGUGCAAAACCUCUAGAAGAAUUGUUAGAAGUAUUGACCAGGUCUGUGACUCAAGGUAAAUGUUCACUAUAAUAGAAAAUAAUCAUAGCAACAUCAAUCAUAAUACAAAGAGGAAUACAAUACAUACAUGUAUACAAUAACAGUCUGUAUGUACAUAUAAAAAUAUAGCAAAGUAACUUCAACAAAUAGGAUGAGUGUGUGUGUUCAUAGGUGAAUACAAGCACACACGUGCACGCACAUACAAUCACACACACACACACACACACACACACACACACACACAUGCUUGACACAGCGUGUUACUUUUCACAUCCGGUUUGGAUAUGAGUACAGAAGACAACCAGACCCCCCCAGACUCAGUCCCUCAGUCCCUCCAUCCCUCCUCGCCUGUUCUUCAUCUCCCAAUGUUGGAAUGGUAUGACCUCACUCCCACAGCUUCACUCACUCCAACAUCAGUCCUUCUAACGGACAGUCACCCUGUCCACAACCUCCUCCUUCCCUUCCUUUUCUUUCCUCCCUUCUCCACUUCCACAGCUCUCUCCCACACUCGACUUUCCUCCAUUCACCUCCAUCCCUCCCUCCUUCCCCAUUAGAAGCUAUCAUACAGCUAAUUGCCUCCUCUCAGAGAUCAACUCCCAGAGAAGGAGGACUGGAACCUAUUAAGCGUCUGCAUGCUUCCCAGCCGAAACAGUUUGGAAUAGUGACUGAAUAUAUUAUGACAACAUUUUUUGACGUUUUUGUUCGUUUUGGUCUUCGGCAAGGGUGUUUUCGGUUGUUCGAGCACACUAAACUUUUUCUCGAGACAAGCAGAAAUCGGUACCCGAAGUCUAGGCCUCUUCAUUGGUGAUUAGACAACAGUAAGGAUUGUUUGUGUAUUCUGGCUACAGCGUCUCAGAAUGGACAAACAGUACUAUUGCUGCUUCUUUCUCAUUUAUCAAGUGAUGGUCUUCUAAUAGAGUAUGUGAGCGCACUUGUUCAGUUUGACCUGCUGAACUGCCAACCUGAAGCACACUGACACCUUUACUUAGUCCAUACAGUUAGUAGGAAUGUAACUGGGAGGGAAGGGGUGCUAAGAUGUGAUGCUGGAAGGUGUUAGCUAGCCCCCCUCCACCCCCCAGUGGGGUCGGGGGGAGGACUUGCCUGAGGUUGAUCAAACUGGCCAGAGGAAUCUGUCAAGAAGAGGAAAGCCCUGACCAUGCAAAAUGCAUAAUGUGUUGUGGACGCAGUGGAAAGGAUCUAUAACGGAUGUAAAAUUUCUUAUCUGGCUCCCUUCCUAAGCCUUAUCUGGCUUACUGUCCAUGCCCUAUGAUAUCCCUCUGUAUUGGGAAUUUGGGGUAGCUCCAUCUCUUUGGUGCACGGUAGACAGCAACGCUAUCAGGAUGGAGGGAGGAAUAGAGGAGAGGGGAGGAAGGAAUGGGUUAGGGGAGGCUGAGGGAUGGGUACAGGCAGGUUAGGUGAGGAGGGGAGAGACAGGCGGUGAGGGGUCAGGGAAGUCUGGCGUCAGCCUGCCGCGGAGAGGAAACCUAAAAAUAAAACAGGAGGCUUCUGCUGACAGCAAACAUACACAGGCCCGACACACACUAACACAGGAGGGGACAUGACACCCACACACACAUACUCACAUAUACACUACAUGACCAAAAGUAUGUGACCACCUGCUCAUCGAAUAUUUCAUUCAAAAUCAUGGGUAUUAAUAUGGAGAUGGUCCCCCAUGCAGGGACUUCCUUCCAUUCAGACACAAGAGCAUUAGUGAGGUCGGGUACUGAAGUUGGGUGAUUAGGCCUGGCUAGCAGUCGGAAUUUUAAUUAAUCCCAAAGGUGUUCAUUGGGGUUGAGGUCAGGGCUCUGUGCAGGCCAGUCAAGUUCUUCCACACGAUCUCGACAAACCAUGUAUGUAUGGACCUCGCUUUGUGCAUGGAGGGCAUUGUCAUGCUGAACCAGGAAAGGACCUUCCCCAAACUGUUGCCACAAAGUUGGAAGCACAGAAUCAUCUAGAAUGUCAUUGUAUGCUGUAGCGUUAUGAUUUCCCUUCACUGGAAUUAAGGGGCCUAGCUCAAACCAUGAAAAUCAGCCCCAGACCAUUAUUCCUCCUCUACCAAACUUUACAGUUGGCACUAUGCAUUGGGACAGGUAGCGUUCUCCUGGAAUGCACCAAACCACAUUCGUCCAUCAGACUGACAGAUGAGAAGCGUGAUUCAUCAUUCCAGAGAACGCGUUUCCACUGUUCCAGAGUCCAAUUGCGGCAAGCUUUACACCACUCCAACCAACGCUUGGCAUUGCGCAUGGUGAUCUUAGGCUUGUGUGCGGCUGCUCAGCCAUGGAAACCCACUUCAUAAGUUCCUAACGAACAGUUCUUGUGCUGAUGUUUCUUCCAGAAGCAGUUUGGAACUCGGUAGUGAGUGUUGCAACCGAGGACAGACACUUUUUUAUGCGCUAUGUGCUUCAGCACUUGGCGGUCCUGUUCUGUGAGCUUGUGUGGCCUACCACUUUGCGGCUGAGCUGUUGUUGCUCCUUUUCCACUUCACAAUAACAGGACUUACAGUUGACCAGGGCAGCUGUAGUUGGGCAAAAAUGUUACAAACUGGCAUGUUGGAAAGGUGGCAUCCAAUGACAGUGCGAUGUUGAAAGUCACUGAGCUCUUCAGUAAAGCCAUUCUACUACCAAUGUUUCUCUAUGGAGAUUGCAUGGCUGUGUGCUCCAUUUUAUACACCUGUCAGCAACGGGUGUGCCUGAAAUAGCCAAAUCCACAUAUUUGAAGUGUUGUCCACAUACUUUUGUAUAUAUAUAUAGUGUAUACUGUACAUACACAGGUAAGAACACACACUUACACACAAAGAUUUGUGCACAUACACAUGCUCGUGCAAGCAAGCACGCACACACACACACACGCACACACACACACACACACACACACACACACACACACACACACACACACACACACACACACACACACACACACACACACACACACACUGCCUGGUCAUAAGGGAGGCCCCCAGGUUAGUCUGUUAGUUAGACAGCUGGGCAACACUACAGACGAUUCACCUCUAUAUCUCACAGUGCUUUCCAUAUUAAAUGAGCUUAAUCACUUUAGAUUCUCCGGGUACAUCAUGGUCCCUUUUUGGUGUGUCAAACAGUAAUACAUGUUUGUGUUUCAGAGUGUGUGUCUUUGAUCCACCAUUAGGAAAGGGUCUUUGCAUCAGCCUCAGACAAAAUGUCUGCCAUGGCCGCUCGUUGCCACAUCUUGUAUGUCCAUUCAGUGUGUCGGCUCCAGGAUGCCUCUUCAGAGAGGGAGGGGAGGGAAGGAGGCCCACACCUGUAGACUCCCUGUAGACUCCCUGUAGACUCCCUGUAGACUCCCUGUAGACCACCCUGUAGACCACCCUGUCUCUGUCUCUGUCAUGCCUGGAAUACACAUUUGCUAGAGACCCCUUUUAUUUAAUGGCCGUGUUAGGAUUUGUACUAGUAGCUUGCUCACUGUACUCACAUGUAACACAUGGUCCGCUCUCUCUAUCGCUCUACCUCACUCUCUCUCUACCUCUCUACCUGUGUCUCUCUCUAUCGCUCUACCUCACUCUCUCUCUACCUGUGUCUCUCUCUAUCGCUCUACCUCACUCUCUCGCUACCUCUCUACCUGUGUCUCUCUCUAUCGCUCUACCUCACUGAAGAGGAAGUCCAAUAAAUAAAUAGGUCAAGUCUAACAGAGCAACCCCCAGCCCAUCACACAGCACAGUGAGGUUGGUCUGUUGAGUAACGGUCUGGUCGGCCAGGCAGGCGCACACAGAGAAUAGCCACAGUACUAUCUACAGUAGAGUGGCCCACACAGUAAGGGGAAGGUAGAGACUGCAUGCCCACACAGUAAGGGAAAGGUAGAGACAGCAUGCCCACACAGUAAGGGAAAGGUAGAGACAGUAUGCCCACACAGUAAGGGGAAGGUAGAGACUGCAUGCCCACACAGUAAGGGAAAGGUAGAGACAGUAUGCCCACACAGUAAGGGGAAGGUAGAGACAGUAUGCCCACACAGUAAGGGGAAGGUAGAGACUGCAUGCCCACACAGUAAGGGAAAGGUAGAGACAGUAUGCCCACACAGUAAGGGGAAGGUAGAGACAGUAUGCCCACACAGUAAGGGGAAGGUAGAGACAGUAUGCCCACACAGUAAGGGGAAGGUAGAGACAGUAUGCCCACACAGUAAGGGGAAGGUAGAGACAGUAUGCCCACACAGUAAGGGGAAGGUAGAGACAUAUGCCCACACAGUAAGGAGAAGGUAGAGACAUAUGCCCACACAGUAAGGGGAAGGUAGAGACAUAUGCCCACACAGUAAGGGGAAGGUAGAGACAUAUGCCCACACAGUAAGGGAAAAG
ensembl:lncRNA